CCUACGGGUGGCAGCAGUGAGGAAUAUUGGUCAAUGGACGCAAGUCUGAACCAGCCAUGCCGCGUGCAGGAAGACGGCUCUAUGAGUUGUAAACUGCUUUUGUACGGGGGUAAACGCAGAUACGCGUAUCUUUCUGAAAGUAUCGUACGAAUAAGGAUCGGCUAACUCCGUUCCAGCAGCCGCGGUAAUACGGAGGAUUCAAGCGUUGUCCGGAUUUAUUGGGUUUAAAGGGGGCGUAGGCGGUCGGAUAAGUUAGAGGUGAAAUCCCGAGGCUCAACUUCGGAAUUGCCUGUGAUACUGUUCGGCUAGAGAGUAGUAGCGGUAGGCGGAAUGUAAGGUGUAGCGGUGAAAUGCUUAGAGAUCAUACAGAACACCGAUUGCGAAGGCAGCUUACCAAGCUACUUCUGACGUUGAGGCACGAAAGCGUGGGGAGCAAACAGGAUUAGAUACCCCAGUAGUC
rnacentral:rRNA from 1 species